rnacentral:rRNA from 1 species
AGUGAACGCUGGCGGUAGGCCUAACACAUGCAAGUCGAACGGCAGCACAGUAAGAGCUUGCUCUUACGGGUGGCGAGUGGCGGACGGGUGAGGAAUACAUCGGAAUCUACUUUUUCGUGGGGGAUAACGUAGGGAAACUUACGCUAAUACCGCAUACGACCUACGGGUGAAAGCAGGGGAUCUUCGGACCUUGCGCGAUUGAAUGAGCCGAUGUCGGAUUAGCUAGUUGGCGGGGUAAAGGCCCACCAAGGCGACGUUCCGUAGCUGGUCUGAGGGGAUGAUCAGCCACACUGGAACUGAGACACGGUCCAGACUCCUACGGGAGGCAGCAGUGGGGAAUAUUGGACAAUGGGCGCAAGCCUGAUCCAGCCAUACCGCGUGGGUGAAGAAGGCCUUCGGGUUGUAAAGCCCUUUUGUUGGGAAAGAAAAGCAGCAGGUUAAUACCCCGCUGUUCUGACGGUACCCAAAGAAUAAGCACCGGCUAACUUCGUG